CCUACGGGAGGCAGCAGUUAUUAAUAUUUUUCCCUUUUCUCUCUCCUGCCCCCGCCCCGUCGCGUGAAGGAUGACUGCCCUACGGGUUGUAAACUUCUUUUAUAAAGGAAUAAAGUGAGGCACGUGUGCCUUUUUGUAUGUACUUUAUGAAUAAGGAUCGGCUAACUUCGUGCCAGCAGCCGCGGUAAUACGGAGGAUCCGAGCGUUAUCCGGAUUUAUUGGGUUUAAAGGGAGCGUAGAUGGGUUGUUAAGUCAGUUGUGAAAGUUUGCGGCUCAAACGUAAAAUUGCAAUUGAUACUGGCAGCCUUGAGUACAGUUGAGGUAGGCGGAAUUCGUGGUGUAGCGGUGAAAUGCUUAGAUAUCACGAAGAACUCCGAUUGCGAAGGCAGCUUACUAAACUGCCACUGACAUUGAUGCUCGAAAGUGUGGGUAUCAAACAGGAUUAGAUACCCGAGUAGUC
rnacentral:rRNA from 1 species